rnacentral:rRNA from 1 species
GGAGUGCCUUCGGGAGCGUGAACACAGGUGGUGCAUGGCUGUCGUCAGCUCGUGUCGUGAGAUGAUGGGUUAAGUCCCGCAACGAGCGCAACCCUCGUUUUUAGUUGCCAGCAUUAAGAUGGGCACUCUAGAGAGACUGCCGGUGACAAACCGGAGGAAGGUGGGGAUGACGUCAAGUCAGCAUGCCCCUUACGUCUUGGGCUACACACGUACUACAAUGCUCCGGACAAAGGGCAGCUACACAGCGAUGUGAUGCGAAUCUCAUAAACCGGAGCUCAGUUCAGAUCGAAGGCUGCAACUCGCCUUCGUGAAGGAGGAAUCGCUAGUAAUUGCAGGUCAGCAUACUGCAGUGAAUUCGUUCCCGGGUCUUGUACACACGA